GCUCCCAGCUUGAGGGGUGGGCAGGAAGGACUGUGACUUAGGUGUUUGUCUUUCAGAUCUGUGAUAUUGCCAUUAACUGGGCUGGUGGUCUGCACCAUGCCAAGAAGUUUGAGGUGAGUGAGGAGGUGAUGGGAAAGACAGUGGCCAUCCUAGGGUAGGUGUUUAGGAUGAUGGUGGGGGGCAGCUGGGAGGGGAAUUGCUCUUCUCUUUGUGAGACCACUGUCUUGCCAUAGGCCUCUGGCUUCUGCUAUGUCAACGACAUUGUGAUUGGCAUCCUGGAGCUGCUCAAGUGACAUGUAUGAAGUCGGGGCAGAGAGUGGCCGCUACUACUGUCUGAACGUGCCCCUGCGGGAUGGCAUUGAUGACCAGAGUUACAAGCACCUUUUCCAGCCGGUUAUCAACCAGGUAGUGGACUUCUACCAACCCACGUGCAUUGUGCUCCAGUGUGGAGCUGACUCUCUGGGCUGUGAUCGAUUGGGCUGCUUUAACCUCAGCAUCCGAGGGCAUGGGGAAUGCGUUGAAUAUGUCAAGAGCUUCAAUAUCCCUCUACUCGUGCUGGGUGGUGGUGGUUAUACUGUCCGAAAUGUUGCCCGCUGCUGAAUACUUCGAGUACUUUGCCCCAGACUUCACACUUCAUCCAGAUGUCAGCACCCGCAUCGAGAA
rnacentral:sRNA from 1 species